rnacentral:rRNA from 1 species
AAUCUGUACCGUGGACGUCCUUGAGAGGCGGGAGAAAGGUGUGUACCGUAGGAUAAAGAGAAGUGGGUGGAAGAGUAGAAGUACAGGAGGUUGUGGCAGCGUUUUAGGUAGUCGUUGCCCAGGCUCCAGCUGGCCGUCCGGGAGGAGAGGAAGUUCCUCUCGUAGUGGUCACUAGGCGCGGUCCAGGACAGCAGAACCUUGGUGAGCUAGUCGAAGACGUCGACCUCUCCACAGUGGACGCCAUAAUGAGAAGGUUGAGCACACCAGAGGGACUUGAAUUUGAGACGUGUCGAGUCACCAGUCAAUAGAGGAACCUAUCGAUUGGAAUGCAGUGAACUUGCCGAUCUGGAAAGUCUUUUAGCGAAGAGACCUUCGUAAGGUCUCCUCAAUCCGUGUGAAGCUGUCGAUGUCAAAUACUAGGAAAGUCACUUGUAGGAACUUCCAUAGUAAGGAUCUAGGGAUCCGUGAUCAUCUAGAGAGUAUGUACAGUUAGAGUGUCUUUUGGUAGAACAGCCAUGAUAUGGUCUAAAGGUAUCCAACGGUCGGGAGGUUUGAAACUAUGACAGUCUUUUGUACGAAUAUCCAUCGUAAGGAUCUAGAAAUCCGUGAUCAUCUAGAGAAUUUUAACAGCUAGAGAGUAAAUUGUAGAAGUGACCGUUAUAAGGUCUAAAGGUAUUCUACAGUUGGGAACUUAAAGAACUAGAAAGUUUAUUGCUGGAAAGACCUUCGUAUGGAAGUAGUGACCCUUUACAAAGAAGAGAAUCGGUAUAGGUCUUGGAAUCAUACGACUCAAAUCCAUUGUUGUUGGACAGCCCCGUAGAAAGCAGGCUUGAGACAUUGUAGAGUAGUGAGUAAAUAGAACUGAAUCGGGUCUUACUGGAUUGACCUGUUCAUGGUAGAAAGUAACCUUUGUGUAAUUGUUUGGAACUUAACGAACUGUACAGUCCAUUGUUUAAACUCCCUAAUUAAGGUAGUAGUGAUCGUUUACGUAGCUUGGAGGUUCACUAACUAGAACCUAUGUUGAAUGAUUUACCUGCUUAGGGUAGAGACCCUAGAAAUGAAUUGAAUGUCGAUGAUUAAGAACUUUUAUUGAAGGAUCUUCGACUUCCGACCCUUAAGGAACAGAGAGAGCGUUUAACAAGCGUCGAUCUUUAAAACCUUUACUCACCCUUACAGGACUUACCAUCAGAGGGAUCCAGACAACCCUUAGAAAGAUCUUCAAAUCAUGCAAAUUUGGAACCUUCCUUAGUUUAGCAUCCGUGUUAUGGUCAACUCUAAAAAUUGGAACGUUCAGAGGUUUACGAACGAUACCUGUUUUUGAACGAAAGUCCCCAAUAAGGAAGAUAAUAGCCCUUGGAUCUGGCCGAUCAACAGGAUCUGGAUAGUCCCUUGUUUAAAAGACCAGUCUAGGGUAGACGUUAUCCAUUAGAAAGGGUCGACUUAGUCGAAAGAGAUCUGUUGUUGUUGAACUCACCCUUGUAGGGUCGUUCAAAUCCUUUAACGUUCGUUGACCUAUACGAUUCGAAUAGAAAAUUGUCGGAACUUCCUGGUUAUGGUUCACUUGAGUGGUUAUCGUGAUGGGAGGAGUCAAAACUAAACAGUUUGUUGUUGGAAUGUCCUAGUUAUGGUGAUGUUCAACCACGUGACGAAGUUGAACGGGCAGAACUAUAAAGGCAGUUGUUUAACAGACCAGUUCAUGGUAAUAGUGAACCGGUUACACAGGUUGAUCACAGAGAUUCUAACUCUUCAUUGUACGAAUUACCUUCGUAUGGAGUCAGAAAGUCACUCGACUUCAGGUAACUAGUCUAACUAGAAAGGGUUUUGAUGGAACAACCUGUUUAAGGUCUCAAGAAACGUUUGUACCAAAUAAACGUGGUUGAACUAGACAGUCGGUUGAUGAAACUUCCCGGUUAAGGUUGGCCACCGUAGAAAGUCUUUAUAUCACGUCAUUAGAACCUACCAUUACGUCCCGACACACGUUUACGUUGGUGGUUGAAUAAGCUAAAGGGUGAAACGGGGUGUUGCAGUCGACAACUCUCGUUCGUACGUGAGGAUAACCAUUUUGAUUAAGGGGGUUAACGAUAACGGAACGAGAGGAAGUAUACGAUACACCAGUGACAAGACUUCUCUUCCGUUCGUCUUUGUCGAGGUACGAUGUUCCUCUGUUACUUCUUCUAAAGAAUACCACUGUAGCAGUUUCGAUGGUUGACCGAGAGAGGCCAAUUGUUCUAGUCGAGUUCAGCGUGGCCGAGCUAGAUGUAACCUUCCAAACUCAAACUGUGCCUGAACCAGCGGUAGUUCAAUAAGGUAGAGCUUCUCUUACCACGCGUACUGUCGAAGCGAUGGCUCACGCUCCACAACGCUUUGUGGGCGGUAGCGUUAGAACAGUUUCGACAGUGGCAUACGAGCUGUCACCUGGAUCUCUUGUUACUUAAGUUCCGAUAUCAAAAGCUGAAGUACCGGUUGCCUUCGAACCUGUACACCCACGUGGGCUUCGAUGUGUUGUUAUCGGGGUUCUCUCAUGACUCGAACCCAGUCUCCAAUUCUUAUCGCUACCUGCAGCGCAACCGAGACCUAAUAUACGUGUUGGUCAAUUGCGGAGGAGAUUAGGUGACACUAAACUUCGGGCCUUUACAAGAAAACCUGAUACUAUACUGGCGUUCCCAACCACUAAAACCCAGUCGCUCCAAAGAGAGAAGAUGGGGACCAUCAGGUCUUCUGAACCAACCACACCUUCCUUGUUAACCUAUAUAGCGUGGGCUCAUGACAUACCCUAUGUUUCAAAGUGGUCCUACACUACAAAUACCAAAACCUUAGGAGGAAGAUCUUUACGAAUGGCCUUCCGCUGGUUGCCUACGUUACAAGUGGCCACCGGACUCGGACGUGUUCGAACACUCGAGUCGUAAAGGUCCGUCUGAGUCUCUCCAAAAUCUAGGGGUAAACAGGGUGCUCGUCGUCGCACGCACACUAUCUCACGAAUACGCCUCUAUAUACCAUGGAGACCAACUUCAACCGGAGGACACAAGGUACCUUAGCGGAUUUCUAGCUGGCCCUUACCCUCUUCAAACACGGUCUUAAAACAGAGAGUUUCUCCGUAAGAAACUCAAGACGACUAAUUGGACGUCUAGUUGUGCAAGAACUUAUUCUCAUAUUCCACGCUUAUAGAAACGACAUUUUUAACCAAGACGUCUAGUGUAAAUACACAACCUUUUAGUGGUCUAGAGAUCAAUAGUUUUAUAACUUAACGAGCUUUCUCAUGUACAAGUCAUAACCUCGAGGGAUACAACCUUUUUGAUCAUAUACAUAAGAUAAUCUGUACUAUAAAAUCUUUGACUCAAGUACACUAGGGUUAAUAAUUAGACGCAUAAGUCUCUUCAUAUAACGUCAUGUAUACGCGUAAACGUUCAAAACCACUCUAACAUAAUAAUUAUUAAGUAACGAGAUCUAAAGACUCUUUACUAAAAAACCAAGAACUAUUUUUAAUUGAAUUUUGUCAUGUGCACAAUUGGACAGAAAACUUGACUAUGUGGACAAUUGAAAGUAUACCAACGUCACACAAUCUCAUAGAAGUUGACUUGAAUGAACAGGCGCCUGUGAAAGAUGUCGCGGGUGAAACUUGGGGAUAAACAAGUACACGUACGACAGCAUAGGGGAUUUAACACGCCUGUGUACGUAUAGUAACUACCCCUCCCUCUCUCUUUUACCAGGCCCCACUCGACGUAGGCUACACCGCCACACAGGCCUCCAUGGUAAACUAUCGAGAUCAACUUACCACAAAAAGAAAGAGAGAAUAGGUUCUUUUAAAGUAGGUAGGCUUGUAUACCCCUCCUUUAUCCUCAGUGCCAUUAAGUACAGACUCGAGCACGAGUAGAUAC